GUCUGGGCUGGUUUGUACUGAUUUCUGCUGGUCUGUACUGGUAGCGAGAUGGCGAACUGCAGGACCUACAUGAGAGGACUGGUGAUCAGCUUCAACCUGCUGCUGCUGCUGUUUGGGAUUCUGAUGAUCGUUGUGGGAUUCUCAUCGGGCUACGGCAACAAACACCUCAUCUUGAUACAGCUGGAUGAGUACUCCAGUACCCAGAGCCUGCUGGUUCUUAGGGGUUUCGGACCGGUUACCGUGGUGAUCGCCAUGCUGGGACUCAGCGCCUCGGCGACACGGACCAGGACCCUACUACUGGUGUACUCUGCCCUGGUCUUCGUGGUGUUCCUGGCCCUCAUGAUCGUGUCAGCUCCUCUCAUCCAGGUCCAGACCCAGAUCGAGCGGGGGAUGGAGGAGUUGUUCUUGAACGUGACUCCUCUCUACAGAGCGGAGGCGGAGCUCCAGCGGCCCCUGGAGGAACUGCAGCUGACGGACUCCUGCUGUGGUCUGAAGAGGGCUUCUGAUUGGAAGGAUCAGAUUCCUCCUUCCUGUUUCUGUUCCCCUCCCUACCCCUCGUCUCCCCCCUACACCCACAUGAGCUCCUCCUCUCGUCCUCUAGGCAACAGUACAGUUCUGGCUCCUUGUGUGUCCGUCAGAAGGUCACAAGCCCCCGUGACCCCCCGUGACCCUGUGACCCCCCGUGACCCUGUGACCCCCCGUGACCCUGGCACCUCCCGGUACACUGUCACCUCUGCAACUUCAGAGGAGCUGUGGGUCCACUCCAAGAUGGCUGCUAUGCUCCUGUCUCUAGCUCUGGCUCUGGAGAGGUUCUGGACCCACUGGAAAACACCGGUGGUGGAGACCACCGUGGACGACUUCAACAGAGUCAAAUACCAGCCUCAACCCUCCCUCACCUGACCCUUGACCUCUCAGCCUCAACCCUCCCUCACCUGACCCUUGACCCCUGACCUCUCAGCCUCAACCCUCCCUCACCUGACCACUGACCCCUGACCUCUCAGCGUCAACCCUCCCUCACCUGACCCCUGACCUCUCAGCCUCAACCCUCCCUCACUCGACCCCUGACCCUUGAACUCUCAGCCUCACUCCUCCCUCCCCUGACCCCUGACCUUCACCAUGUUAAACACUACUUCCUGGUUCUCUGGUGUGUUUCCUGCUGCUGUUUUGUGGUCGACAGGAAUCAAAGCUCUGUGUUUGUCUCUGAUUUGGGGCCUGUCAGCAAUAAAAUAACCCUCGAGAAACCACCGUGUGAUACACUGUCUUUCAUUUAAGUGCGAUGCUGAAACCAGUGAGAUGUUCCUCUGAAUAUACCGACAAUCUCCUCUUCUGUUGAUGGGGGUUCAGAAGGACCACCAUGACAGACCUUCCUCAGUGGUCCUGAGCUGCCCAGCAGGGGGUGCUGUGAUCCACAGUCCGGGUCCUGAUAAACCAGGCUGGAGCUCCAGGUUCGAGAUGUUUAUUCAGAGUUCAGGAGGAGCCAGAGGUUCGGUUCGGUCUCAUUUGCUUAUGUGGCGACACGAGGAGGCUUUACUAAUUUAUAUCAGAGUAUCUUCUCUUUGUUACCGACAACGCCACC
rnacentral:lncRNA from 1 species